rnacentral:other from 3 species
AGUUGUCUGCGUAGGGUACAGAGGUAAGAUGUUCUAUCUUUCAGACCUUUUAUUUCACGUAAUUGAAUGUGGCUGAAUAGCUGCCCCGAUGAGGUUCUCGUCGGGGUGUUUUUUU